rnacentral:tRNA from 1 species
GCGGGCGUAGUUCAGUGGUAGAACUCCAGCCUUCCAAGCUGGUAGCGUGGGUUCGAUUCCCAUCGCCCGCUCCA